CAGCCAUUGGCAGGAGGACUUUCUGCUCUCUCCCACACCAAUUUUUUAUCCUAUUUGGCUGUGAGGAAGUGCUGAAUAUGGCCUUAAGGAAGGAAUUCAGAGACAUGGGGAAAGGAUGUCCCUAACUUCAUGGUGUGGGCAGCUUAGAAGAGGACGUUCCUGCAGCUCCCCUCUGAGGUCUGUUACUGAAGAAGCCACGGUUCUAGACAUCAGGGCCAAGGAUGAGAGCCUGGACUUGGAAGAUGCCACAGGUUCCCUGAGGAGGAACUUGAAGUUGUACCUGUUUUCCCAGGCGUUUAAUUGAAAUUGAAAUUUUAGUUCCUACUUGCACCUCAAAUGUUGAUGUGCCCACCAUCUUGAAAUCAGGGUUGAUGGCAUCAUUACAAACUAUGCCCUUGAGCCAUCCCUAUGUGUCCCUUCACCAGAACAAAUUUGGGACCAAGAAGCAACUUAAGCACUAUUCAGAGCAAUGUUACACCAGAAGGAGGUGCACCAGAAUACUGCAGGCCCUUCACACUGAGUGAUCGUCUCCAAAGCCAAAUGCUAUUUAAAG